AUUAUGUCCCAGAAAACUGCAUAAAAAUCUAUAACUUUAACAUUAAUAGAGGAAAACAGCUCAUUCAACCAUUCAUUUAAUAGCUCGCGUUCGAGUACAUUAACCAUACGAAUGGUGCUCUAAUCCCAUGAACAGACUGGACUAUUUCUGCCGUAUAAAGUCCGUUCGGUAUUUUGAGUCGUGAGUCUCUGAUGGCGGCCAUGUUUUCAGACGGUUUAGCGGGCAGCGGGACCUCGCCGCCAACUCAUGGAACUAAACUCGGGUAUAAGUUCAUGCGAAGCCCCACUGUCUGUCUGGUAGUGGAACUCGUUCGGUAAAUGAAUGAGGACCACCUGGUAGCAUGGUACUUGAGUUGCGGUUAACCGCAGAAACCACAGGCUAAUUGCCGCCACGCGACCCACUGUAGGGGGUCUCCGUUCGUGUGGUUGUUCGGCAGAUUCCCUUCGGUGCUUUGUGUGCGAACGUCGAUCCCCCCCAGGCCCAUCAAUUAGUCUGUGGUUAACCGCAGACCGCAGCCGCCUGGAAGGUUAAUGGCCGCCACACUCAGCUGGUCAGGUGGUCGCCCGUUCGGUACUUUGCGGGGUGACGAGGUUAAGUGG